UAUAAUUUUGUUAUUUCAUUAUUAUGAAAUUUAAUAGAGAAAAGGUCCAAUAAAACAAAUGAAAUGGAGAGAAGGAAAGGCUUGUAAGAAAGAGGAAGAAGAAUCAAAGAAAAUAUAAUAAAAACAAAAUUAGAAACAAACGCAUGCACCCCCUCUCCUUUCUAGAUCUCUCUCCUCUGCUUUCUUCUUUAGCUCCUUAGGGUUUUUGAUCUCUCGCUUUAGGUUUGCCGUUACAAAUCUCGUCCCCAAUGUCUACUUCGCCGGCGAAUAUGAAGAAGUCUCUCCACGGUUUCUCUUCUCCUCUCACCCUUGGACCUCAACUCUCUGCUGUCACUGACGUGGACCCCAAAUCGGACCCAUCGCCGGAGACGCCGCCCGUUUCCAACCGAACCGUUGCGUCGCGAUCGUCUCGUCAGCCGCGCCUCUCCUUCUCCUCACUCGCUCCGUCGUCCGAGCGCGAUCACCAGAAGAAGGUGAAAUCGGAGGAGAAUCCGCCGCGGAGAGAGGAAGUUCCGGCGUCGGCGGAGGAGGACGAAGAGAAGAGGAAGUGGAAUCUGCGGCCGAGGAAGGCGUGCGGCGGUUCGAAGAAGGGGAACGGCGCGGUCCCCGCGGAGGCGUGCGGCGGAGGAGGAGCUUCGGAGGCGAAGAAUCAGAAACCAGUCGCGGCGGUGGUGGAGGCGAAAUCGAACAGGCAGAGAGGGAUUCCGGCGGAGUCUCCCGGGUUAGGCGGCGGCGGCGGCGGCGUUGAGUCGAAGAACGAGAAUCACAGGCUCUGGGUGGCUCUGUCUCGUGACGAGAUCGAGGAAGACGUGUUCAGCAUGAGUGGGAACAGGCCAUCUCGUCGGCCACGGAAGAGGACCAAGACCUUGCAGAAACAUCUCGAUGUUAUCUUCCCUGGGUUGUGUCUUGUGGGGAUGAAUGCUGAUUGCUUCAGAGUAUCCACUUCUCCCGCUAAGGUACUUUUAGGCUUGGAUCAACCUGCCCUUUUAGAGCUACAUAUUGAUCCGUAAGAUUGUGUGAAGUUGAAGCAAAUGAGCGAUGAUCGGCCUAUAAACAUAUGUCGACAAAAGUGGGAGUAAGUAGUUGGGAACUUGUUUCUGGUUUGUUGCAGGGUAGAUAGGGAUGCUUGGUGACAUGGUCUAGAAAAAUCCAGAAUACACAACAGUAAAAGAUAGGAAGAAGAAAUAUCUCAAGAGGCAUUGUCUUGUCUCAUAUCAAACUUAGUAGGAACAACCUUAUAUAAGUAAAUAUGGGUAAGUAAGUUCAUAAACUAUUUAUAAAGAGAGAGAGGGUGGUUGGUUCAAUUCUGAGUUAUCGAUAAUGAAAUACAGAAAAUUGGUUAGUAUGGUGCUUUGGUGUAGUUAAAUUGAAUCUCAUGGUGGAGUACAUUUUAUUUCUCUGUGUU